UGCCAUCCACGCGGGUGCCCUCGGCAGAGGGCUGAGAUGGGGCUGAUGCGGCCCGGACCGUCCGAACCUGUCCGGGUCAUGCCGGCGAAGGAAGUGAACCAUGUCACACA
rnacentral:ncRNA from 2 species